GACGAACGCUGGCGGCGUGCUUAACACAUGCAAGUCGAACGGAAAGGCCCUGCUUUUGUGGGGUGCUCGAGUGGCGAACGGGUGAGUAACACGUGAGUAACCUGCCCUUGACUUUGGGAUAACUUCAGGAAACUGGGGCUAAUACCGGAUAGGAGCUCCUGUUGCAUGGUGGGGGGUGGAAAGUUUCGGCGGUUGGGGAUGGACUCGCGGCUUAUCAGCUUGUUGGUGGGGUAGUGGCUUACCAAGGCUUUGACGGGUAGCCGGCCUGAGAGGGUGACCGGCCACAUUGGGACUGAGAUACGGCCCAGACUCCUACGGGAGGCAGCAGUGGGGAGUAUUGCACAAUGGGCGGAAGCCUGAUGCAGCAACGCCGCGUGCGGGAUGACGGCCUUCGGGUUGAAAACCGCUUUCGCCUGUGACGAAGCGUGAGUGACGGUAAUGGGUAAAGAAGCACCGGCUAACUACGUG
rnacentral:rRNA from 1 species